GGUGUAUUUAAUGUAACAGUUAGUUAUUGUAGUAUUGAUGCAACAUGCUAUGGGUCUGGUUGGGGUCAGGGGUCAGGGGUCAGGGUGAGGUAUAUAUCUGUAUGGGUUCAGGUGUAUUUCAUGCUACUCUACUGUGUGUGUGGUGAACCUAUAGGAAAUGUAUCUCCCCCUAGCCUCUAGCCCCUGACCUCUAACCCCGGACCUCUGACCUCUAACCAUUGAUCUCUGAUCUUGAUGACAAUAAAGUUUCUCUUCUGUAGA